rnacentral:lncRNA from 1 species
CAGAAGUAAAUAAUAAUUUUGCGAAGUUGACAGUCAUAUGAACUAAUUAAAGUACAUUGAAUGAGGGAACCAACAUAUUCCCUCUGCCUUUCCCCAACUAGUUAUGGUACAAAACUAAUGCUAUAUGAAUAACUUAACUAUGCCUCAAUUCUAAACUCUGUGUCAAUAUUUAUGAAAUUAAUACAACAUAAGAUCCACAUAACGUUUUCUAAGCAUCACAGCCUCCACACACGACCCCCUACUAUUGGAUAAAAAUGAGAUAAGUAUUAGAUAUUGAACAAUUAAGUAGAAGAGGAAUCAACAUAUGGUGGAGAUUUUCAAAUUGUGAAUAGAUAGAGAAAAUACUUGGCGAGCUGUUAAAAAUGCAAGUAAGAAUGCCUAUCGUUAGUGAGACCAACCAAUGAUGCGGAAACCACAAUAUUAAGCAUAUAGUCAACAAGUUUUUGAGACCAUUCUUUAAUAAGAUUCUGGCUCUAACCAAACGAAGAUUUUAAACUUAUUUACCCGGUUUAUCUAAGUUUUCAUAUUUAUAGAAAGUAACUAAAGUUUUUUUUACAAAAUAUAUGAAGAUGUUUGUUUAAUCGUAAAACGGUACAGUUAAAUUUAUAACGUGAUUUAUAGACAAGUGAAUCGAUUUAACCCAAAAAUACGAAAUGAAUAAUAAUAGAAAUAAGAUUAUGAAAUGAAAUUAGAGGAAAUACAAGUCUCGAUAUGAACUUAGCCUCUUCGGUGGCAAAAGUGUGAACAAUAUUCAAGAAUAAAACCAAUCUUAGAUUUUUGAAGAGUAACAAAGUGUUAAAGAUUGUAGCAUUUUGAGAACAUUUUCAUAGCUUGUUAUAUGUCUCUGCACCUCUAUAGCUUAGUGGUCUCAAACCUAUACAAGGGCUUUGAAGGGAUAGGGGAAGAAAAGAAAACAAAGAGGGUCAUUUUCUUUUAGGAACAUGGCUCCUCCAUUCGCUUGCUUAUGAACUCGUAGCUUCGCCACAAGCGAUAAGGGGGGCUGGGAAGGCCGACGACUACAUGAGGCCGGAAGCUUUCGUAGAAGCUUUACCCCUUGCUUUACAAAGAUAGUUAUGAACUGACUAAAUGACUAGAUUCUCCCGGAAUGCUAGCUAAGCUAAUCGUCUUAGUUCCCUUCAAUUAAAUCAAUAAGUUUUUUGAUUGAGGGGGACCUCGGUCCGGGAAGGGGAGAGUGGCGGGAAGGGGAGUGUCCGAGUGGUCAAAAACGACAUACUGUAAAUCUGUUGAAAUUUUUCUACGUAGGUUCGAAACCUGCCUCAACCUGCUAUAAUCCUCCUGACCUUUAGAAAAACACAUAAAUAUAAAAUCCAUACGCUAAAUACUUAGGCACCCAAAUCAGAACUUAAGAAAACUAAAUCUAUUUGAAAGAAUCAAAGCAAGUGAAAGUACCUGCAGUACUAUCCCACAAUCUCAAAUUGACAAUUAAUUUUCCCAUCCAUAGCUACAUUAGCACCGAAAUUAUCAAACACAGUAGGAAUAUAAUCCUGCAAAAAAGCCACAAAUAGAUUAUUAAGACAAACAAUUUUUCAAGAGUAGCUGCAUUUUUUAGUAGCUUGCUUCAAUGCAACCCAUGCCAAACAAGAACAUCAAUUCCCAAGAAAAAAUAACUAAAAAUGAAAAUUUGGAGAAAAAAACAUGAAAUCCCACAUUUGAAAUUCAUAAAUAUGUUGACCAAAAAAAAAAAACGGUGCAUAUAUAUUGACUAGACUUCUAGUAGUAAGAGUACAG